GGUGGGGUUCCCGAGUGGCCAAAGGGAACAGACUGUAAAUCUGUCGUCGCACGACUUCGGUGGUUCAAAUCCACCCCCCACCACCA
rnacentral:tRNA from 1 species